AAGCGGUAGCGGCGAUGGCCCGAAACGAGAAGCGGAAGCGGGAGCGGGAGCGGGCCCUGUCAAACCCUCCAAACCCUACCCUUCCCAUCUCCAGGCGCCUCCGCCGCCCCCUCCCCCUCGCUCCGGCGACCCCCGCGGCGGCGGAGGGGGUCGGCGGCGGCGGCGCCUCCUCCUCCUCCGCCGGCGCGCCGUCGGCCGCCGCCGCCUCCUCCUCCGCCGGCGCGCCGUCGGUGGUGAUCGUCACGGGGAUCCCCGGCGACUGCACGGUGCUGGAGCUCAAGUCCCGCCUCGAGAUCUACGGGCCCGUCGCCCGCACCCGCGUCGACGCCGCCGAUGGCGUGGGGUACGUCAC
rnacentral:lncRNA from 1 species